UCUCUAAAUUUACUGCAGUCAUCUAUUUGUGAUAAAUUUUAUUAUACACAAAUUAUGCCUCAGUGUAGCUAUUAUAAAAAAACAAAAAAUGUCUAAGGUGUUUAAUUCUUAUCAGUAGAAGCUGCUAUAGGCCAAAAGUGUACCUUUACUAUGUUCCCUUUGGAGCACAGCUCAUUAAGAUUGCUCAAUCAAUCUUUAGUAGUUUACUCAAUUGAGAUUUUAAAAACUAACCAUAUUCCAUGGACUAUACAACCUAUAGCCUGGCAUUCAAGUUAUUACAUGUCUUUGCUACAACUUAUUCUCUACUCUCUACUCUGUUUCCCUCAAAGCGGGUUUUUGUACCCAUUUCUCAUCUCUGAGCCUUUGCUCAUGCUGUGCCUUUCAUCCACUAGGUGGUACUUUUGGCACUUGUAGCUUCAUUGCUAAUCAAAAGACCUCAGGGUAGUUUGAAAGAGAAAAACGCGUUAUUUAAACAGGCCAUUUGUUAGUUGGGUAGUCACAAGCUGAAGAGGGCCUUUAUCAGGUAUGCUUAGACAAAUUUAACUCACACUUAUAGAAUAAAUCUUUUUCUUUUCCUCAGCAAAUGUUGAAUAUGAAGGAUCUCAUGUUUCAGAACUUUUCCAAAAGUUGGGCUGUAUGCACACAAAAGCCAGUCUUAUGAGGGAGCAAGUGGGCAGCUGCACUAGUAAUGGGGCUUCAUUCAUUAAUUCUUCAACCAAUAUUUAUUGAGCAACUGCUUUGUGCCAAGCGCUGUUCUAGAUAUUGGAAGUGCAGCAGUACACAAAACAAAGUUCCUGCCCUCAUGGGGUCUGCAGUUGGGAAAGAGAUAACCACUAAACAAAUAAUUACUGAUGUUUGGUCUGUAAGGGCUUUGGAAAACCCUGAAAAGCAGGAAAGGGAGAAAUGGGAAUGGUGGAGGUGGCAGUCACCACUGUAUGCGGAGUGGACACCCAAAGCUUUUCUACCAAGAUGACAUUUAGUACCUCUGUAGGAAACAAGGGAGGGGGGGUAUCAUGCAGCUCCCUUGGGAAAAAGCAACCCAGGUGGAGAGAAAACACAAUAUACAAGGGAUUGUAGGCAGGAGUACUCCGGGUAUAUUCAUGUAAGAGCAGGAAGGGCACGUGCGUGGGUAUGGCAUGGAGUGGAGGAGGGUACAUGAUGGAGAUUAGUUCAGAGUGGUAGAGGUGGUGUGGCUUGCAGAGCAUGAAGGGCCUUGCAGGGCAUUUUAAGACCUUUGACUUUACUCUGAGUGAAAGGGGAGCUACUGAAGGAUUUUGAGCAAAGAAGUGAUACGAUCUGACUUCUGUUUUAAAGGGAUUACUCUGGCUGCUAUGUUGAGAUUGACUGUAGUAGGGCAGAGGCAGAAGCUGGGAGACCAGUUAAGACACUAUUGCAAUAAUCCUGGCAAGCGGUGAUGGUGGCUUAGAUCAGGGUAUGAGGAAUGGGAGAGAUGAGAAGAGACCAUGUUUCGUACAUAUUUCUAAGGAAGAGACAACACGAUUAGCUGAUGAUUAGAUACAGGGUAUGAAAGAAAGAGAAAAGCCAAAGAUGAUGAUUUAUUUUAAUUAUUUAACAGAAGUUUAUGUGGUACUAAUUAUAUGCCAGGCCUGUUCCACUUUCUUGACAAAUAUUGACUCAUUUAAUCUUUGCAAUAGGCUCAUGAGAUAAGUACUAUUUUUGUCCUCCUUUUCCUGCCUUCAAGGUUUUGGCUCUGAGAAGCUGGGAGGAUAAAGCUGCCAUUUACUGAGAGAGGGAAGACUAUGUGAAGAGCAGGUUCAAGUUGAUAUGUUAAGGUUGAGAAGACUGAAGCAACUGUGUGAAGAUGCCAAGCGGGUGGUUGGUUAUGCAAGACUGGAGUUAAGGAGAGCGAUCUGGUCUGGAGAUACACACUCAGUGUAAAGAUGGUAUUUAAAACCCUGAAACUUGAUGACACCUCUAGGAGAGUAGAGAUCCAGCAGAGAAGACGGCCAAGCACCAAGCUUGAGGGCAUCCAGUAUGAACGAGGACAUGAAGAUGAAGUAUCAAAGAAGACAGAGCAAUAGCCAAAAAGCUUGGCAUCCAGGAAGCCAAGUGAAGAAAGCAAAGGAGGAGAGGGCGAGAAACUGUGUUCGAUGCCGCAGCUUGGUCCAGGAACAGGGAGCUGAGAAUUUAUUCAUUGCUUACUUUGAAAAGAGCUAUUUCAUUGAGUGGUAGUGAUGAAAGUUGUAGUGCAAAAGGGGUCAAGAAAAAAUUGGAGGAGGAGUAUAGGAAAUGAUGAAUAAACAGAACUCUUUUGAGACAUUUCCUAUAAAGAGGAAUAGAGAAAUAUGGCAACAGUCAGAGAAGAGUAUCGAUAAAGUCAAUAGAGGGUUUUUGGGGGGAGGGUUGUUGUUUCCUUUUGUUUUAAAGAUGGGUGAAAUUAUGGCAUAGUUGUAUGCAGAUGGAAACAGUCCAGUAGAAAAGGAAAAAAAAAUGUUGAUACAGGAGACAGGAGAUUAAGUGAUGUUACUGAGCUGAUGAGAGAGGAUGAUAACGUACAGGGCUUGGAUUAGAUAGAAGCAGAGACAAUUCAUCUCUUGGUAAACGGAGGGAAGGCAGGAUAUAUGGUGAUAGAUGCAAUUAUGUGGGGAGAUGUGGUUGACAUUUGUGGAAGUUCUUUGUUGAUUGCUUCUCUUUUCUCAGUGAAAUAGGAAAAAAGUCAUAAGCUGAAAGAGAAGGACAGAAGAAGUACUGGAGCUUUGAGGAGAGCAAAGUUGUGAAAUGAACAUCUAGGAAAAUGAGGACUAUUACCCCAAACAUCAGCUCAACCACAGAUACUUAGGCGGUAUCUUCCCUUGUACCUGAAGAAACAUCUAGAGGAUUUCUGUUUAUACUCGAUCCAAAGAAGCAGAUACAACUAAAGAGAGUUUAAAGCGAAGAGAACAGGAUGAAAUCUUUGGAGCCGCAUGUGGCGCCUCCAUGGGCAGGGUGUCCUCAAGCUGGGGUGCUUACGGAGCAAGAGAACCAAGAUGAGAAAAGAGGUCUAGAUCUGCCCUGUCCAAUGUGGUAACCACUAGGAACAUGUGGCCACAGAGCUGUUGAAAUGGCUAGUCCAAACUGAAGAUGCUGUAAGUGCAACACACACACAAAAUGCCAAGGACUUGGCACCAAAACAGAAGAAUGUAAAAUAUCUCAUUGAUACAUUUUUUAAAUCGAUGGUCUGUUAGUAUGAUAUUUAAGAUAGAUUAGGUCCGAUAAAAUACAUUAAAAUGAAUCUCAAGACUUCCCUGGUGGUCCAGUGGGUAAGACUCCACGCUUCCAAUGCAGGGGGCCCAGAUUCGAUCCCUAGUCGGGGAACUAGAUCCCACACGCAUGUCGCAGCUAAGAGUCUGCAUGCCACAACUAAGGAGUCCGCAUGCCACAGCUGAAGAGUCCAAAUGCCACAACUAAAAGAUCCCACAACUAAG